UACGAAGGGGGCUAGCGUUGCUCGGAAUUACUGGGCGUAAAGCGCACGUAGGCGGUCUUUUAAGUCGGGGGUGAAAUCCUGGAGCUCAACUCCAGAACUGCCUUUGAUACUGGCGACCUUGAGUUCGGGAGAGGUGAGUGGAACUGCGAGUGUAGAGGUGAAAUUCGUAGAUAUUCGCAAGAACACCAGUGGCGAAGGCGGCUCACUGGCCCGAUACUGACGCUGAGGUGCGAAAGCGUGGGGAGCAAACAGG
rnacentral:rRNA from 1 species